rnacentral:lncRNA from 1 species
AGGAUCGGUCAAAGCAAAAAAAAAAAAAAAAAAAAAAAAGGAACGCUCCCUUUUGUGCGCCAGCCCGCCGCCGCCUCCUCCCGCCGGAGCCGCUCAGCUCCUCCUAGCGCGCGCCAGCCCGCUGCCGCCGCCUCCCGCCGGAGCUGCUCGCCUCCUUCACGUGCUCGCCCGCCGGAGCCGCCUCACCCUACCCACCGCUGCCUGCUUCCCUGCUCGCGCCGCGCCGUGAUGGAGAGGAAAGAGAGGCGGGGUCUGCUCGCCCUACCCCGCCGCCUCCUCGCGUGCGCAGGCCGGACAUCCGGGCGUCGCCGCCGGAAAGGGGAUAUGAGGUGGCGGAGAUUCUUGCUAGGAGGAGGAGAGGGGGCCAUUGGAGGAGGGCUAGAGGUCGCUGCGCAUGGCCCGUGGGCGGAGGACGUCAGCGUCGGCGAGGUUGACUGGGCAAGAGGCGAGCGUCAACAGACGUUCCAGGGAGGAGCAGUCCGCUGGCGCGGUCGCAUGAGAGGGUGCCGACCGGAGGCAGAGCCGAGGACCCCUAGGACCGCACCCGCGCCACCACUGCUGCCAUCGUCAACAUCCUAUAUGAUUUUUCGUUGUUGUUGUUAUCAGGGAUGCGCUGGAACAAGGGCACAGGACCAGGGCCGCUGGACAUCAUCGAUGCUAGCAACAGUUGAGGAUUGA